rnacentral:rRNA from 1 species
AGCAGCCGCCGCGGGAAAACGGAGGGUGCAAGCGUUACUCGGAAUCACUGGGCGUAAAGGACGCGUAGGCGGAUUAUCAAGUCUCUUGUGAAAUCUAACGGCUUAACCGUUAAACUGCUUGGGAAACUGAUAAUCUAGAGUAAGGGAGAGGCAGAUGGAAUUCUUGGUGUAGGGGUAAAAUCCGUAGAUAUCAAGAAGAAUACCUAUUGCGAAGGCGAUCUGCUGGAACUUAACUGACGCUAAUGCGUGAAAGCGUGGGGAGCAAACAGGAUUAGAUACCCGGUAGUCCCUGUCUCUUAUACA